rnacentral:rRNA from 1 species
AUUGAACGCUGGCGGCAGGCCUAACACAUGCAAGUCGAGCGAGCGGCGGACGGGUGAGUAAUGUAUGGGGACUGCCCGAUAGAGGGGGAUAAAUACUGGAAACGGUAGCUAAUUCCGCAUACUAUCGGAUAACCCAUAUGGGAUUAGAUAGUAGGUGCGGUAAUGGCGCACGUAGGCGACGAUCCCUAGCGGGUCUGAGCGGAUGACCAGCCACACUGUGACUGAGACACGUCCCAGACUCCUACGGAGUCAGCAGGGGGGAAUAUUGCACAAUGGGCGCAAGCCUGAUGCAGCCAUGCCGCGUGUAUGAAGAAGGCCCUAGGGUUUUAAAGUACUUUCAGUCGGGAGGCGUUACCGACAGAAGAAGCACCGGCUAACUCCGUGCCAGCAGCCGCGGUAAUUC